rnacentral:Y_RNA from 1 species
AGCUGGUCCGAGUACAGUGGUGUUUACAACUAAUUGAUCACAACCAGUUACAGAUUCCUUUGUUCCUUCUCCACUCCCACUGCCUCACUUGACUGGCCUUAA